rnacentral:tRNA from 1 species
GCGCCUGUAGUGAAGUCUGGUUAUCACCUGAGGUUUCCAACCUCAUAUCCUGGGUUCGAAUCCCGGCGGGCGCA